AACGAACGCUGGCGGCAUGCCUAACACAUGCAAGUCGAACGAUACCUUCUGGUCUUUUGGCGCACUUGUGCGUAACGCGUGGGAACCUUCCCUUAUGUUCGGACUAACUUUCCGCAAGGGGUACUAAUACCGGAUAAUUUCUUCCGACCCAUGAUUUAUUUCCUCUUGAUUGGCCCGCGUUGGAUUUGCUAUUUGGUCGGUUAAAAGACUACCAAGGUGAAGAUCCAUAGCUGGUCUGAGAGGAUGAUCAGAAACACUGGGACUGAGACAAGGCCCAGACUCUUACGGGAGGAAGAAGUGGGGAAUAUGGGACGAUGGGCGAAAGAAUGAUCCAGCAAUGCCGCGUGAGUGAGGAAGGAGUUAGGGUUGUAAAGCUGUUUUACAAGGGAAGAUAAUGACAGUAACGGGAGAAUAAGCGCCGGCUAACUACGUG
rnacentral:rRNA from 1 species